UUACGGGAGGCAGCAGUGGGGAAUCUUGCGCAAUGGGCGAAAGCCUGACGCAGCAACGCCGCGUGUGUGAUGAAGGUCUUCGGAUCGUAAAGCACUGUCGCGAGGGAAGAUACGCUACCGACUAAUAUUCGGGAGCUAAGACGGUACCUCGAGAGGAAGCACCGGCUAACUCUGUGCCAGCAGCCGCGGUAAUACAGAGGGUGCGAGCGUUGUUCGGAAUUAUUGGGCGUAAAGCGCUUGUAGGCGGCUUGUUAAGUUCCGUGUGAAAUCCCCAGGCUUAACCUGGGAAGUGCGCGGAAAACUGGCGAGCUUGAAUGCCGGAGAGGGUCGCGGAAUUCCCGGUGUAGAGGUGAAAUUCGUAGAUAUCGGGAGGAACACCAGUGGCGAAGGCGGCGACCUGGACGGACAUUGACGCUGAGACGCGAAAGCGUGGGGAGCAAACAGGAUUAGAUACCCUGGU
rnacentral:rRNA from 1 species